rnacentral:rRNA from 1 species
CGCUAUCACUCCUACGGGGAGGCAGCAGUAGGGAAUCUUCUACAAUGGGCGCAAGCCUGAUGGAGCAACACCGCGUGAGUGAAGAAGGGUUUCGGCUCGUAAAGCUCUGUUGUUAAAGAAGAACACGUAUGAGAGUAACUGUUCAUACGUUGACGGUAUUUAACCAGAAAGUCACGGCUAACUACGUGCCAGCAGCCGCGGUAAUACGUAGGUGGCAAGCGUUAUCCGGAUUUAUUGGGCGUAAAGGGAGUGCAGGCGGUUUUCUAAGUCUGAUGUGAAAGCCUUCGGCUUAACCGGAGAAGUGCAUCGGAAACUGGAUAACUUGAGUGCAGAAGAGGGUAGUGGAACUCCAUGUGUAGCGGUGGAAUGCGUAGAUAUAUGGAAGAACACCAGUGGCGAAGGCGGCUACCUGGUCUGCAACUGACGCUGAGACUCGAAAGCAUGGGUAGCGAACAGGAUUAGAUACCCUGGUAG